rnacentral:misc_RNA from 1 species
UUCUACUGCAUCUUUUAUAGGAAUGAAGCUGACCACUGCUUCUUGACUACUAGACAGAUAUCCAGUAUCAUUUUGCGCUGCAUUACUAUCUGUCCGGUCAAGUCCUGCGCAUUUAACUAGAAUCUCCCUAAUAAGAGGAUUACCGGAACAGGAAAACCUUCCCUGGAGCACUAAAAGUGUAUCGGCAGCAGCUAUUUGAGAGUCAGGAUAAUCUGAAUUUUUGAGACACAUAAUUAGAACAUCUACAGCUUCCUCUCUAUAGAUGCUCAUUUUCCUUGGUUCUGCAAGCAGAUCAAGUUGUAGAAGUAGGCCAGCCACAACAGGACACUGAUCAGGGAGAGCUGUCUGUAGG